GAAAGUUGUGCUAAUUUCGGCAGCUAAAAUUGGAAUGAUACAGAGAAGGUUAGCAUGGUCCCUGAACAAUAUUUCUAAUUUGGAUGAUGAAAUUGAUGGUUUU